UAUGAUGAUAACGUGAUGUUGGGGUCACCAACUAACCAUGCAACAGAGUCAACAGUAGAAGGAAGAUUCAGAAUCUUCUUCUUUCUGCCUCUCUGCUCUUCUUCAUUCUCAAAGCACUUUUCCUUUUUCCUUUUCGCUUUUUCUCACAAGUUCUGCGUAUCUUUGUUGAUGGGACAGCAUAAAGGGGGUUCAAAGAUUAGUUCGGAAUACCAGAUAAUGGUAGAACUAUUCGCUGCUAAGGAUCUUGUUGGUACAAAAUUAAUAGGCAAUCCAAAUCCUUAUGCUGUCAUCACGUGCGGCAAUGAAAACAGAUUCAGCUCCAUAAUCCGUGGUUCAAGAAAUCCUUUGUGGGGGGAGGAUUUCAAUUUUUGUGUUCAUCAACUUCCCGUCCAGAUCAAGGUAGCAAUUUAUGAUUGGGAAAUCUCUACAACAAGUGUCCCUCUUGGUUCAGUGACUGUUCCAGUUGAAAGUGAAGGUUCAACUCGUCCAUCGUGGCAUACUUUGGGAAGACCAUCAGGGCAGGUUACUUUUGGAAUAAAAACACAAGCUUCUGGAAAUGCUUCGAGGAUAAAUGGUUAUGGAGGAGGCAACUCUCAAAGAAGGAUGCCACCCCUGGAAACACAUGGGGUCCCUGUUGUCCAUCAAAAGCCUGGGCCUCUCCAAACUAUUUUUGGUCUUCAUCCAAACGAGGUUGUUGAUCAUACACAUACCUGUGCACUAGAGACGUUAUUCUUAUACCAAGGUCAUAUGUAUAUCUCAGCAAGGCACAUUUGUUUCCAUUCCACUGUAUUUAAGGAAAUGAAGGUGGUUAUUCCAUUUGAAGAUAUAGACAAGAUUCAAACGAGUCAACAUGCACUGAUCAAUCCUGCGAUAACAAUUGUCCUUCGCCAGGGAGCUGGUGGACGUGGUGUCCCUCCUUUAAAAAGUCGUGAUGAUGAGAAUAAAAAUAAGCACUACAUUACCACAGAUGAUGAUGGUCUUUGUCAGAAUGUUUCACCUGCCACAUAUAUGUUUGCAUCAUUUGGUAACAGGAAUCGUGUGCUAAAAGAUCUACAGCGUGCAGAAAAGAACUUUAAUGAAAUCUUGGAAGUUGAGAAGGAAAAUGCAGUGCCAGAGCUGUGUGCAUAUAGCAGUUCUGUCAGAGGAAGUAAGAUGCUGGAUAAGGCUCCUGAGGAAGUUAUUCCUGGGGUAGCUGAGAUGUUUUCUAACUUGUUCAUUGGUUCAAAUUUUACUGGCAAGAAUAAUUCAGCAAGAAAGGACGCUAAUUUUGUGGUGUUUGAGAAAGUGCAACAGGCACAUGAUGUUCCAUCUGGAUCCUACUCUGAGGUAGGGAAUACUUUAGAUAUCUUAUCUGGUUAUCCAGCCGUUUUUGUUUUUUUUUUUUUUUCUUUUUUCUUUUCUAAUAUGUUUGUGUUCUCUGAUUUGAAUCACUGCAUACGGGUCACAUACGAUAUGUGCAGUCAAAAAACGCCCCCAUUGCGUGUGAUUGAAUGAAUAUGAUUCAUUGUCAUUGAAGGAACUGCGUUUCUUGUAAAAACAUGUGUGCUCUUGUUAUUAUAAUUUUAAACCUUUAACAUUAAAUAAGCCGUAUGGCCGAUGAGUGAACAGUAAAGUGCCAAAAACAAUCAGGUGAAACUUGUUUGAUUAUCUGCAAAUAAGUAACAAUAGUUCUUAUUGUACUCAUCAUUGAUUGUUUUCUAAUAGUUGGCCACCAAAUAAGGUUGCAAGGUAUGUACUAAAAAACCACAUACAAUGCUGGCCCAUGACCCCAUAGUUAAAAUAGUUUCUUAUAACAAAAUGAAUAUGUUAUUUAUCUUCUUUUUCUCCCUUUUGUCUGCUGCAGGGUUGAAGAUUGCAGUUUCUGAGUGAGAAGGUAAAGCCUUUGGCAGCUGAUUGAGAACACCUCAUUCUCUGCCAUGCUCUUAACUCAUACUGCAUGAUUUGGGCAUCUGUAGAAUGAUGUAUUAACUUCAGCAGUAUUUCAAUGUUGACAAGCAUGUUUUGCAUUUAUCAGUGAUAACUAGUGAAUGGAGAACCUUGAACUACAGCCGUCAACCUCUCUGCUAGGGUUUGUUUCCGCUAUUACGUUGAGCUAAGAGGACUUUUUGCUCCACGUAAGUAUCCCUUUCUAGUUCAUGUUGGCCCCCUUUUAAUCACCUUUCGUAUUCCUAGUUAGGAUCCUAUGUUAACCCCAUCUACUGGUUCUGUUCCACCUUUAUUUCAACCCUGUAGUUCAUCCCUAGAGUUGUUGUGCUCGUGGUCGUGUCAUCAGGGUCCUUGCUAAACCUUUUUCCAGGUACGGGGAAGUUAGGGUUUUGGGUCUUGAAUGAUUUUUGGCUGAUUUAGAGUUUGUUGGGUGUUGUAUGAUCUAUAUGAUUGUGAUGAAUUUGUGAACUGCCUUGUACUAUUAUUUGGGUGCGAACAUGUGACUGUUGCAGGAGAAACAGUGGCGAGAUCUGUUACUCUCACCCAAGCGAGACUAACUCGCCCAGGCGAGACUUGCAGAAGCAAACUAGGGGUUUUGCGAACUCUCGCUCAGGAGGAGAGCUCUGGUUUUGAGCGAGGCACUGUCUCGCUCAAGCGAGAGCCACUCGCCUAAGCGAGGAGGAGUGAAAGCUUUAGGAUGCUGUUGUGGUUUAGCCCAAGCGAGGGACCUCACUGUUGGGCGAGAGGUUGUCUCGCUCAGGCGAGGCAGGGCUUGCCUAAGCAAGCCUGCAAGAACCUCCCAGCACUGGUCGUAAUCUCGCCUAAGCGAGAGCACCCCUCUCGCCUGAGCGAGGGCUCUUGCCUUGAGCGAGAUCCGCUGCAGGUUGUGUGUUUUCUUCAAUUAGUAAUUGGAUGGUUUGAUUUAUGAGCUAUUCUGUAUGAUGCAUGAGGCCUGUGAAAUGAAAUGCAUGGUAUGAUCUGUGGUUAUAAAUUGGAUAGAGGUGAUUGAGGGAUCUUGGCAUGUGAAACUAAUGAGUGGGUCAGAAAUUAAAGAGGCAUGGUAUUGGUAUGAGAUGAGGCCCUAUACUCAUGGAUUUGGGAAUGACUAGUGGUAUGGAUUCAACAUGUGGUACGAAUGAGAAUUUGUUUCAGAGGUUGUUAUGAUAUUAUAAGCAUGAUAAGAGUUUCUCUUGUUGUUGGUUGAUGUUUGGUCUGUGGUCAGUGUGUAAUCCCUUGGAAUCUCUAGGUGAGAUUUUAGGGUCGUGCUUCAGUGGUCGGGACGUAAUUCCACGACUCCUGUUAGUGGGUGUCCAUGGUGGUGCCCCAUCUAUAUGGUCUGGUAAGGAUUCAAGGUAAGGUUGCAUCCUGACACUCUAAGGAGUCAGUUAGUCUCACUUAGAGCAGACUGACUCUUGUGGUGAGAGUAGCAGGAGGCCUGAAACUCAUUAAGGGCUAACCUUGUGUGUGAGGGAAUUGAUUCAUUGUAACACUUGUAACACUUAGCUCGGGGGUGAGCAGCUCGGGGGUGAGCAGAGGUAUCCACCGCAAGUGCAAGCAUUCGCUGAAUCUGACCAGACUAUAUAUAUCUGGAUGAGUCGAGUCAGAGUCUAGUGUAUUGUUUGAGAAGUCAGAACAUGUUUAGAUGAUAUAUAAAAUGCUUGGAUUGUGUGAUGGCAUGCUACUAUUUGAUGAACUGUUUUACUCUAGCUUGCCUUGUUUGCUUAUUUGAUUGUCUUGUAUGUGGUUCUUCUCCCUUUGCGAUGAUCAUCAAUUUAUUGAUGUGAGCAAAUGCGAGAGGUGUUCGCGGUCAACAGGGAAAUGGUGACUCCGCUGCUUAGCCAUCUGGACUGGAUUGGUGCACUCUAGGCUUUCUUUUAGGGCCACGGCCCAUGUAUUGGCUGUUCUUUAAUUUCCCAAUUUGUUUACUGUUGAAUAGUUGUAUCUGGUUCGUUUGAGCAUCAUGGUGUGCCUUGGUUACUGUACGGAGUUGGGAUUGUAAUCCAGGACUGCGUUUAUAUGUUAUCUUUGUGUGACGCUUCCUUUAA